GAAAAAAUUAUCUUCUUCUGCCGUCAUCGUUGUCGAAACCAUUUGCAGAGAUUUUGUUUUUCUUUGUGCUUCCUUUCUCGAGAUAUACUUCCCUCAUCAUGAGAGCGUAUCAUUGUCGCAAAAAAAUAUUAUAGGAGAAGGUCAUCAAAGGUAUUUAGAGAAAAGAUUAAGGAGAGAACUGGAUAUAUCUUCAAAGAGAGAAUUGGUUUAGUCGAUGAAUUGGGGGAGAAAUGGGAAGACGAGAUAUGCGAUUCAGAAUCAGAAGAGAAAAUGAGGGAUUCAGACACGAACGAAGCUGGAAAGAAUCGACCAGUUCUUGAGACAAGUGAUGGCAAGGGGAAAAAUAAAAAGAGAGAUAAGAAGAGGAAGAAGAAGAGUGAUGAUUUCAACAAAUUUUUAUGGUUCCAUGAACAAGACAAAGAAGGAAUUAGGCAAGAAGAGAAUAAUUUUGAUUAACUUCGUGCAAAAAACCAGAGACUCUUGCGAAGAUAGAAAGUAGAGAUGCGGUCUUCCGUUAUGUUUACCAGUAAAGGGAUAAUCCCAAUGCUCUUGGUAGAGCCGACGGGAGCAGACUCUGUGUAUUGACAACAUACGGCAUUACCCUGGAGCUUCUUUUAUCCCGGAUUGCAUAUACUUCAGCGAGAGAUUCCGACUUGCAACAGUGAAUUCUUCUUUCUACUUUUUGACCUCUCAUAUUAGUUUGUUGUAGAAAAAAUGAUAUCAGUAUAUAUUAACUGUGCCAAUAUGUUGCAUCGUUAGCAAGGCCUCUUAUCUAUUGCCAUGGCAAGUAUGUGAUUAGGUAUAAAACCUUGAUUAGCUUGAUCUUUAAAUAUAUUAGGCCAGGUUUUUUAAAAUAAGUUGAUAAGAUAUGCUACAUAAAUGUUUUGAUAAUGGUGCUUGUGUGAUUGUUUCCAUUUUCAAUAAGCGGGUCCUUUCUCUCAUAUUCAUCUCUACUUAUGUGUGUGCACCUAUGUUGUAGUAUAUUAGCGAGAAGAACUUUAUUUGAUAUUAUCAACUCAACUUUUACAAUUGCAGGUUAUUAGAUAUAUAUAGGUUACUACUCCAUCUGAUGGAUUCAGUAACCGGUUACCUCGAUCCUCCGUUAAAGACAUUCAGUAUUUCAGGACUUGGAGGACACACAAGAACAAGCAUGACUCCGUUGUGCGUCUUAAACAUCUCCCCAUCGGAAUCGUAGCUCAGGCCGUCGAGGAUCGUUCGCAGCAUAAGAAUCGUGCUUCUGCUCUGAAUCAACUGAGUCUUCUUUUUCUCGCUAUUAAGUAUAGGGAGUUAUUCAAGAAGAAAGCAAAAAAAUUUACAUUAUACUUGAUGGAAUAAUGCAGAGCCUUAUAGAAUAUAGGGUUAACAUAAUAAAUAAAUUAAAUUUAGUAUUUCUAAAUAAAAGUAUAGCCCAUAUCUAGUAUACAAAUUAAUAAGAAUCUGCAUAUUAGACGCUA